UACGUGAGGGGCGAACGUUGUUCGGUGUCACUGGGCUUAAAGGGUGCGUAGGUGGUUGCGUAAGUAAGGUGUGAAAUCCCUCGGCUUACCCGGGGAAUUGCAUUUUAUACUGCGUGGCUUGAGGAUUAAAGGGGAAAAGGGAACUCCAGGUGUAGCGGUGAAAUGCACAGAUAUCUGGGGGAAGGCCGGCGGCGAAGGCGCUUUUCUGGUUAAUACCUGACACUGAGGCACGAAAGCGUGGGGAGCAAACAGG
rnacentral:rRNA from 1 species